rnacentral:rRNA from 1 species
AGCCUGAUGCAGCCAUGCCGCGUGUAUGAAGAAGGCCUUCGGGUUGUAAAGUACUUUCAGUCGUGAGGAAGGCGGUGUCGUUAAUAGCGGCGUUGUUUGACGUUAGCGACAGAAGAAGCACCGGCUAACUCCGUGCCAGCAGCCGCGGUAAUACGGAGGGUGCGAGCGUUAAUCGGAAUUACUGGGCGUAAAGCGCAUGCAGGUGGUUUGUUAAGUCAGAUGUGAAAGCCCGGGGCUCAACCUCGGAAUAGCAUUUGAAACUGGCAGACUAGAGUACUGUAGAGGGGGGUAGAAUUUCAGGUGUAGCGGUGAAAUGCGUAGAGAUCUGAAGGAAUACCGGUGGCGAAGGCGGCCCCCUGGACAGAUACUGACACUCAGAUGCGAAAGCGUGGGGAGCAAACAGGAUUAGAUACCCUGGUAGUCCACGCCGUAAACGAUGUCUACUUGGAGGUUGUGGCCUUGAGCCGUGGCUUUCGGAGCUAACGCGUUAAGUAGACCGCCUGGG